GAGCUCAGCUCAGGGCACGGAUGAAGAGGUCAACAAUGCUGAGACCAGUGAUGUACCAGCAGAUUCUGAACAACAACCCGUGGACUCGGGUUCAGAUCCACCUUCUGCUGAUGCAGAUGCAGAGAAUGUUCAAGAGGGUGAAUCAGCCCCACCAGCAAAUGAAGAGCCUCCUGCCACCUCUGGGAGUGAAGAGGAACAGCAGCAGCAGGAACCCACACAGGCAGAGAAUCAAGAGCCUCCUGCCACCUCUGGGAGUGAAGAGGAACAGCAGCAGCAGGAAUCCACACAGGCAGAGAAUCAAGAGCCUUCUGACUCUGCUGGGGAAGGACAGGAAACUCAACCUGAGGAAGGAAAUGUAGAGUCACCUCCCUCUUCUCCUGAAAACUCACAAGAACAACCACAGCAAACAAAUCCAGAGGAGAAACCGCCUGCUCCUAAGACUCAGGAUGAACCACAGCACGACAGCGGUCGUCCAAAGAAGCCCCUCCUUCCUUUUAUCGCUAAUUUAAUACCAGAAAGAAUUCGGAAAUUAUUAGCUCGCAGUCCAUUAGCCAGAAGAUUUUAGAGAGUACCUGAGAAGAUUAUGACCUUCAGAUGUGUAGGUCAACAAAUCACUGUUGAUUGUCUAUAAUAUUCCAAUAAAAAUUUUCAGCAUGC
rnacentral:lncRNA from 1 species